rnacentral:rRNA from 1 species
GACGAACGCUGGCGGCGUGCCUAACACAUGCAAGUCGAACGGGGUAAUUACUUCGGUUUUACUUAGUGGCGAACGGGUGAGUAACGCGUGAGAAACCUGCCUUUCAGUGGGGGACAACAGUUAGAAAUGACUGCUAAUACCGCAUAAGCGCACGUCAUCGCAUGAUGGUGUGUGAAAAACUCCGGUGGUAUGAGAUGGACCCGCGUCUGAUUAGGUAGUUGGUGGGGUAACGGCCCACCAAGCCGACGAUCAGUAGCCGACCUGAGAGGGUGACCGGCCACAUUGGGACUGAGACACGGCCCAA